CUAGUUGGUAAGGUAACGGCUUACCAAGGCAACGAUGCAUAGCCGACCUGAGAGGGUGAUCGGCCACACUGGAACUGAGACACGGUCCAGACUCCUACGGGAGGCAGCAGUAGGGAAUCUUCCGCAAUGGGCGAAAGCCUGACGGAGCAACGCCGCGUGAGUGAUGAAGGUCUUCGGAUCGUAAAACUCUGUUAUUAGGGAAGAACAUAUGUGUAAGUAACUGUGCACAUCUUGACGGUACCUAAUCAGAAAGCCACGGCUAACUACGUGCCAGCAGCCGCGGUAAUACGUAGGUGGCAAGCGUUAUCCGGAAUUAUUGGGCGUAAAGCGCGCGUAGGCGGUUUUUUAAGUCUGAUGUGAAAGCCCACGGCUCAACCCGUGGAGGGUCAUUGGAAACUGGAAAACUUGAGUGCAGAAGAGGAAAGUGGAAUUCCAUGUGUAGCGGUGAAAUGCGCAGAGAUAUGGAGGAACACCAGUGGCGAAGGCGACUUUCUGGUCUGUAACUGACGCUGAUGUGCGAAAGCGUGGGGAUCAAACAGGAUUAGAUACCCUGGUAGUCCACGCCGUAAACGAUGAGUGCUAAGUGUUAGGGGGUUUCCGC
rnacentral:rRNA from 1 species